rnacentral:rRNA from 1 species
UACGUAGGGUGCAAGCGUUAAUCGGAAUUACUGGGCGUAAAGCGUGCGCAGGCGGUUUUGUAAGUCUGACGUGAAAUCCCCGGGCUCAACCUGGGAAUUGCGUUGGAGACUGCAAGGCUAGAAUCUGGCAGAGGGGGGUAGAAUUCCACGUGUAGCAGUGAAAUGCGUAGAGAUGUGGAGGAACACCGAUGGCGAAGGCAGCCCCCCUGGGUCAAGAUUGACGCUCAUGCACGAA